AGGCUUUGAUCCUGGCUCAGGAUGAACGCUGGCGGCGUGCUUAACACAUGCAAGUCGAACGAACCUUCGGGUUAGUGGCGGACGGGUGAGUAACGCGUGAGAAUCUGCCCUCAGGAGGGGGAUAACGGCUGGAAACGGCCGCUAAUACCCCAUAUGCCGAGAGGUGAAACGAAUUUCGCCUGAGGAUGAGCUCGCGUCUGAUUAGCUAGUUGGUGGGGUAAAGGCCUACCAAGGCGACGAUCAGUAGCUGGUCUGAGAGGAUGAUCAGCCACACUGGGACUGAGACACGGCCCAGACUCCUACGGGAGGCAGCAGUGGGGAAUUUUCCGCAAUGGGCGAAAGCCUGACGGAGCAACGCCGCGUGAGGGAUGAAGGCCUCUGGGCUGUAAACCUCUUUUCUCAAGGAAGAAGAUCUGACGGUACUUGAGGAAUAAGCCACGGCGUAUUACCGUAGC
rnacentral:rRNA from 1 species